UGGCGAACGGGUGAGUAACACGUGGGUGAUCUCCCCUGCACUCUGGGAUAAGCCUGGGAAACUGGGUCUAAUACCGGAUAGGACCAUGCUUUAGUGUGUGUGGUGGAAAGUUUUUUCGGUGUAGGAUGAGCCCGCGGCCUAUCAGCUUGUUGGUGGGGUAAUGGCCUACCAAGGCGGCGACGGGUAGCCGACCUGAGAGGGUGAUCGGCCACACUGGAACUGAGACACGGUCCAG
rnacentral:rRNA from 1 species